AUUGAACGCUGGCGGCAUGCUUUACACAUGCAAGUCGAACGGUAACAGCACUUCGGUGGCUGACGAGUGGCGAACGGGUGAGUAAUACAUCGGAACGUGCCUAGUAGUGGGGGAUAACUACUCGAAAGAGUAGCUAAUACCGCAUGAGAUCUAAGGAUGAAAGCAGGGGACCUUCGGGCCUUGCGCUACUAGAGCGGCUGAUGGCAGAUUAGGUAGUUGGUGGGAUAAAAGCUUACCAAGCCGACGAUCUGUAGCUGGUCUGAGAGGACGACCAGCCACACUGGGACUGAGACACGGCCCAGACUCCUACGGGAGGCAGCAGUGGGGAAUUUUGGACAAUGGGCGCAAGCCUGAUCCAGCAAUGCCGCGUGCAGGAUGAAGGCCUUCGGAUUGUAAACUGCUUUUGUACGGAACGAAAAGCCCUCUUCUAAUACAGGAGGGUCAUGACGGUACCGUAAGAAUAAGCACCGGCUAACUACGUG
rnacentral:rRNA from 1 species